AAGUCGUAACAAGGUUUCCGUAGGUGAACCUGCGGAAGGAUCAUUAAUUUGUUAUCGGAAGUAAGUCCAGGUGGGCCGUGGAGGCAUGGGCAACCAUGCUUACCGCGUGCCCCUAUAUUUACUCUUCACGAACAUCCCAUCUGUGUAUCAAACCUCUGUUGCUUCCCGCGUGGCGUGGCCUGCAAAGGCUACCCUGCGGGGAGGAAAACAUAAACUCUGGUUGUUGUGUUGUUAGUCUGAGUGGUAAACACAUUAAACAAGUUAAAACUUUCAACAACGGAUCUCUUGGUUCUC
rnacentral:misc_RNA from 1 species